AGAACGAACGCUGGCGGCAGGCCUCAAACAUGCAAGUCUAGGGGGUGUAGCAAUACAUCACCGGCGGACGGGUGCGUAACACGUGGGAAUAUACCUUUUGGUUCGGAACAACGCAGGGAAACUUGCGCUAAUACCGAAUGUGCCCUUACGGGGAAAGAUUUAUCGCCAAAGGAUUAGCCCGCGUAGGAUUAGCUAGUUGGUGAGGUAAUGGCUCACCAAGGCUCCGAUCCUUAGCUGUUCUGAGAGGAAGAUCAGCCACACUGGGACUGAGACACGGCCCAGACUCCUACGGGAGGCAGCAGUUGGGAAUCUUGGACAAUGGGGGAAACCCUGAUCCAGCCAUGCCGCGUGAGUGAUGAAGGCCUUCGGGUUGUAAAGCACUUUCGACGGGACGAUGAUGACGGUACCCGUAGAAGAGCCCCGGCUAACUUCGUGCCAGCAGCCGC
rnacentral:rRNA from 1 species